UGUGUAGGUGGCGCGCUAAGUCGGGUGUGAAAUUUCGGAGCUUAACUCCGAAACUGCAUUCGAUACUGGCGUGCUUGAGGACUGGAGAGGAGACUGGAAUUUACGGUGUAGCAGUGAAAUGCGUAGAUAUCGUAAGGAAGACCAGUGGCGAAGGCGGGUCUCUGGACAGUUCCUGACACUGAGACACGAAGGCCAGGGGGAGCAAACG
rnacentral:rRNA from 1 species